AGGAGUCUAACAUAUAUGCGAGGGUUUGGGUGACAAAACCCAUGCGCGUAAUGAAAGUAAUUUAGGUGGGAACGCAUUUCGUGUGCACCAUCGACCGAUCAGGAUAUUUUUUGAUAGAUUUGAGUAAGAGCAUAUCUGUUGGGACCCGAAAGAUGGUGAACUAUGCCUGAAUAGGGCGAAGUCAGAGGAAACUCUGAUGGAGGCUCGUAGCGGUUCUGACGUGCAAAUCGAUCGUCAAAUUUGGGUAUAGGGGCGAAAGACUAAUCGAACCAUCUAGUAGCUGGUUCCUGCCGAAGUUUCCCUCAGGAUAGCAGAAACUCGAUAACAGUUUUAUGAGGUAAAGCGAAUGAUUAGAGGCCUUAGGGUUGAAACAGCCUUAACCUAUUCUCAAACUUUAAAUAUGUAAGAAGUUUAUAGUUGCUUAAUUGAACUUGAACAUUCGAAUGAGAGUUUCUAGUGGGCCAUUUUUGGUAAGCAGAACUGGCGAUGCGGGAUGAACCGAACGUAAGGUUAAGGUGCCAAAAUUUACGCUCAUUUAGAUACCACAAAAGGUGUUAGUUCAUCUAG
rnacentral:rRNA from 1 species